GAUGAACGCUGGCGGCGUGCCUAAUACAUGCAAGUCGAACGAAAAGAUGAGGCGCUUGCUCCUCUGACGUUAGCGGCGCACGGGUGAGUAACAUGUGGAUAACCUACCUAUAAGACUGGGAUAACUUCGGGAAACCGGAGCUAAUACCGGAUAAUAUAUUGAACCGCAUGGUUCAAUAGUGAAAGACGGCUUUGCUGUCACUUAUAGCUGGAUCCGCGCCGCAUUAGCUAGUUGGUAAGGUAACGGCUUACCAAGGCAACGAUGCGUAGCCGACCUGAGAGGGUGAUCGGCCACACUGGAACUGAGACACGGUCCAGACUCCUACGGGAGGCAGCAGUAGGGAAUCUUCCGCAAUGGGCGAAAGCCUGACGCAGCAACGCCGCGUGAGUGAUGAAGGUCUUCGGAUCGUAAAGCUCUGUUAUUGGGGAAGAACAAAUUUGUAAGUAACUAUGCACGUCUUGACGGUACCUAAUCAGAAAGCCACGGCUAACUACGUG
rnacentral:rRNA from 1 species